AAAUUCUGAUUUCCACAGUUGAAAUUCUCAAAACAAAAUUUGUAAAAAUAUCAAACUAACAUCAAUAUUUCACCUGAUUUGGCAACAUUGGCAGAUAGAAAUAAUGUAACUGGCAACCAACGGCUAUCUGUCAGUUACAUUUGCGGGAAGAUAAUGCAGGGACAAAAUUCUUCCUUUGAACCGGAAACACCAUUGAGGGGCCCAGCCAAGGGACCAGCCAGGGGACCAGCUUAUAUUCACGAUGCCUACAAUUAUAAUGCUGCGGAGUAUACGGUGGCUGCAUGAAACGGGCGAUGGUAGCGGCGACCACUUUCGUAAUGGUGAUAAAGACGUGCAGUUUCGAGCGAAAAAACACCGGACGUGACAUGACAUAAGAGUGAGAACGAUCGUACAAGAUAUGGACAAUUCAUCAAUCCGAAUACGGAGGUCAAAUGGGAGGCAAUAAAUUUGUGAAGGCCGUGCUACAAUGAAGAGUGCAGCGGCGAAUUUCGACAAUUAAUCCAUUUAUUUUCUAACGUACGAAAAGAACGGCGAAAUGCUGAGCCUCGAUCACGGUUGUCCAGUAACCUUGGGGAUUUUUUUGAAUUUUCAAUAAAUAAGUAAAUAAUUA